rnacentral:rRNA from 1 species
UACGGAGGGGACUAGCGUUGUUCGGAAUUACUGGGCGUAAAGCGCACGUAGGCGGAUUUGUAAGUCGGUGGUGAAAUCCUGGAGCUCAACUCCAGAACUGCCUUCGAUACUGAGAGUCUCGAGUCCGGGAGAGGUGAGUGGAACUGCGAGUGUAGAGGUGAAAUUCGUAGAUAUUCGCAAGAACACCAGUGGCGAAGGCGGCUCACUGGCCCGGUACUGACGCUGAGGUGCGAAAGCGUGGGGAGCAAACAGG